rnacentral:rRNA from 1 species
ACACCGGCAGCUCUAGUGGUAGCAAUUUUUAUUGGGCCUAAAGCGUCCGUAGCCGGUUUAAUAAGUCUCUGGUGAAAUCCCGCAGCUUAACUGUGGGAAUUGCUGGAGAUACUAUCAUGACUCGAGGUCGGGAGAGGCUGGAGGUACUCCCAGGGUAGGGGUGAAAUCCUGUAAUCCUGGGAGGACCACCUGUGGCGAAGGCGUCCAGUUGGAACGAACCUGACGGUGAGGGACGAAAGCCAGGGGCGCGAACGGGAUUAGAUACCCGGGUAUUCCUGGCGGUAAACGAUGGGGACUUGGUGUUGGGAUUGCUUCGAGCUGCCCCAGUGCCGAAGGGAAGCUGUUAAGUCCACCGCCUGGGAAGUACGGCCGCAAGGCUGAAACUUAAAUGAAUUGGCGGGG